rnacentral:rRNA from 1 species
UGGGGAAUAUUGGUCAAUGGACGAGAGUCUGAACCAGCCAAGUAGCGUGAAGGAUGACUGCCCUAUGGGUUGUAAACUUCUUUUAUAUGGGAAUAAAGUAUUCCACGUGUGGGAUUUUGUAUGUACCAUAUGAAUAAGGAUCGGCUAACUCCGUGCCAGCAGCCGCGGUAAUACGGAGGAUCCGAGCGUUAUCCGGAUUUAUUGGGUUUAAAGGGAGCGUAGGUGGAUUGUUAAGUCAGUUGUGAAAGUUUGCGGCUCAACCGUAAAAUUGCAGUUGAAACUGGCAGUCUUGAGUACAGUAGAGGUGGGCGGAAUUCGUGGUGUAGCGGUGAAAUGCUUAGAUAUCACGAAGAACUCCGAUUGCGAAGGCAGCUCACUAGACUGCAACUGACACUGAUGCUCGAAAGUGUGGGUAUCAAACAGG